CGCCCCAUCCGCACCGUCACCGCCCGUGACACACUUGAGGGUUGUGUGCCCAACCCCCCCCCCACACACACACACCACACCACCCACUCGCGGUGUUCCACGGCAGAAAUGUACAGCGGCUGCACCGCGGCACGGCAAACACACCUGCUCUCCCCCACGCUGCCGCAGUCGAGCAGGAACGGCUCCGUAGCCACGGAUCCACCGUCGACCGUCUUCGUUUCACCGCGCACCUCUUCGAUGCACCGGUCACCGCUCGCUUCCUUCGAAGAGGCCCAGGAGGGCGACGGCGAGCGUGCGCCGCACAACUCGCGUUAUGCCAGCAGCACCAAUAGACCGCGUUCGUCUACCUUCAUACACUCGGUGUCGGCAUACCUGUCCACAGCAACGGGCAAGCGCGGUGCGAGCUCGGCGGCGACGACGGUGCGGGCAUCGUUGGCGAACGGCAGCAGUAUCACCGGCAACUCAGCAUCGAAACCGCGGCAGUCGCGGCAUCAGCCCAGCCUAAUCAUCGCCAGUGGCUGCAGUGGGGGCGCGGUGCACACGCGUCCCGCCGCCUGCAGUAAAUGGAUCUCCGGGCCACCCGCCACAGCAGCAGCAGCAGCGCCACCAAAGGGAGCCGCAGCAAGCCCUGUGGCCAGCCCAACUUCCCCUAUCCCCUCUUCUAAUGCGGCAGCGGCACCGCGGAAGCAGCCGAAUCGGAAGAAGAGCGUCGCGUCGCCGACCGUAGCUUCGAAGCGUCUUGCAACGUACACGGCCACAGCCACCACCACGAGGUGCGGCACCCUGGCCCCGGGGGUGCAUGAAGACUCCUACACGAAGCUGGAGAGCCCGAAGGGCCGGAUGCCUGAGUCGGACUUGAACGACGCCAACGAGGGCGUGGACUGGGCCUGUGUGAAUGUCGGCCUCGGUGAUCUGGUGCUGGAGAGCAUGCAGCUGGCGAGAGCGAGCGCGGCGGCACCUCAAGCGGACUCAGUGGCAUCGACUAGUGCCGGCAACGCGGGGCAGGACAAGAACGCGGGCGGCGACAGUGGGAGUAUGGCUUUGCCACCACAAGGCAGGACGUCGCCGGCACCUGAGGACGGUAUCGCCACGGGGCCGGCAGUCAUGGUGGCAGAUGACGACGUGGCCAAUGCGGAUAUGAACAUCCUCGUAGCGGUGCGCGUGCGUCCUCGCACCUCGUUGAUAACGGCCAAGGGAGCACCGUCGACGUCUCCUCUAACUGAUACGGCGGCGCGUCGUCUCUUUCCCGCGUCAUCAGCGUCGUCGCACAGCGCGGAGCAGCAACCGCCAUGCGAGCUGCGCAGCAGCGGCGGCGACUGGGACGAUGCUUUGAGUACGCAGGCGAGUACCGCCGGCGGCGGCUCACUGGUUGAGGAGCGCCAGCGGACGACGAACAGCACCCCCAGCCACAGCGCCACCGUGCGCGUGCGGCGGUCCGCGAGCAGGCGAGCAAUCCUGAAAGCCGAAAAGAACGACACCGGCAACAGCGACAGCAAGGGCAGCGCAUCGAAAGAAGUCUGCGUGAGCGCCGACGCAAGGAACGGCUUCAUCGACUGCGCCGUCGCCGUCGCUGCGAACGCCUCGGGCGGGGCAAGCACGCCGGCGGCGAACGGUGCCGCGGCUGGGCAGCGAAUCCGCACCCUUCGCUUCCGUUUUGACUGCAUCCUCGACGACAGCGUGACGCAGGCGGAUAUCAUGGCGUGCAUCGGUCAGCGCGCGGUGGCGCGGGUGCUGCGGGGCUACCACAGCACCGUGAUGUGCUACGGCCAGACCGGCAGUGGCAAGACCUACACCAUUGCCGGGCCGCACGGCGGAAAGCUGUCGAGGAAGGCGUUGCGGUGGCUGGCUUCGCAGCCCGCGUCAGCCGGGGCGGUCGAGUGCGAUGACAGCAACGUCGAUCAAGAGGAGCAGGUGCGCGUCGCGUCUGACGUUGGCCUGCUUCCCCGCAUACUGAUCCAGCUGUUUCGCGGGCUGGAGGCACGACACGGCGCCGACGGCAGGCUGCAGCAGGCGUCUGCGGCGCCGACGUCAUCGUGGCAGGUUACGCUCAGUGCGCUGGAACUGUACAACAACAAUAUGCGCGACUUGCUGCCGGGUGAGCUUCCCAAGAACGAGGCAGCGACGCUUGGCAAGAAGGACGUCUCUCGCCCAUCAGCCGCGACGCGUCUUCGCCAUCACGGUAACAGCAGCAGCAUGAGUGGCCGCCGCGACCACCGCAAGGCCACCGCGUCAGCUGUCACGGGAGGGCGGGGCCAGCUCUCCGCUUCUCCAUCGCCGUGCGCGGCGCCAAAGCACACACGUGUGUCGCAGCGCGUCAGCUCUCGGUGCGGUAACUCCGCCACGACGCGGGCCCCUCCAACGGCGGCUGCGAGCACACCACGCGCCAACUCCCAUGCUGGGGCCAGCACCGCCAUGGGAUCAGCCAAGACAAUGCCGAUGAAGUGGACCGCACCGACCACCACAAAAGCAGCGCCGCAACUGCAAAUUCGUCUAGGGGCGCCCGCAUCGUCGGCCUCGCAGAGCUCGCCACCGACGAAGCUGAAGAAGGCAAGAGCUGUGUCGCCGCCUCCGUCGAGCUGGGCCUCGCUCCGCCAGCCCGCGCACAACGCCGGCAGCGAAGCUGUGUACAUCGAGGGGCUACGCGAGCACCAAGUGCACGACAUUCACGCAGCGCUGGAGGCAGUCUGGCUGGCGCUGAGGCAGCGGCAGGCGGGCAGCACAGAGCUGAACAAGAGCAGCAGUCGAUCCCAUGUCUUUUUCUUUGUACGCGUCGAGCAGUAUGAGCGACGCUCACGCGACGGAGAGAAGCCCGCGUGGGCCACCCGCCGCUCCACACUGAGCCUUGUCGACCUCGCAGGGUCGGAGCGCGUCAGCCAUACUGGCGCGCACGGCCUGCAGCUCAAGGAGGCACAGAACAUCAAUCGCUCGCUCUCUGUGCUCGGAAACGUGAUGCGCCUGCUGAGCUCGGCGUCCCGCUCGUCGCUCUCCAAAAACUUGGCGACCACCUCGGCCAGCAGUGCUGCUGCACUGACAGGCGCCAGGGCAGACCAGCACAUUCCGUAUCGCGACAGCAAGCUCACGCACAUCUUGCAGAGCAGCCUCGGUGGCAAUGCCAUCACGUUCCUGCUGUGCAACGUGUCACCGGACUCGCGUGAUGCGCAGGAAACGAUGUCGACGCUGCGAUUCGCGAAGCUGUGCAAGAGUGUGAAGAGCAACGCGAGGCUGAACGAGACGACAGCGGACACAGAAGACGCGCAAGCUGCGGCAGAGGCGAAGAUAUGCCAGCUUGCCGUCGAUGCCUCGACCGCGCAGAACCGCCUGCAGCAGCUCGCGACGUACACGUGGUGGCUGGAGGGACACCUCGGUUACUUCGCGGCCGCGAUGAUCCACCAGCAGCAGCAGCAGCAGCAGCUGCGGCGGCGGCUCUCCGGAACGCUGACCACCAGCGCGUCCAUCAGAGCAGUCACCUCAUCAUCUCGCGCGCGUGGUAGCAGCGGCGGUCGAGGUCUCGUCGUACCCGAGGAGACCACAGCGCCGAAGGUGAUCAGCGGCGAACGAAGCGCCGGUGCUGGGAACGGCGGCAUGCAGAGAUGCAACAGCCUCGAAUCGAGCGGCGUCGAGAACAAGGAGGUAGCCGAUUCUGGCGCAGUACCAGAGGGCUGUCGUCGCAGCCCGGCGCCUGCUGGGCCUACGUCGCCGGAGUGGUGGCACCUUUCACCUCGGCCAUCCAGCCCAACAGCGCCGGCUGACGACGACAAGGACGACGGCGGCGGCGGAGCGGCGGAGGCGGAGGCAUAUUGGCGCAGCGCUUCGGCCCGCGCCCUCCUCUCCCCUGCCUACCCCAUUGCGCAGCGCCGCAUGGAGCUACAGCGCAAGCUGAUCGCCGCUGCGGCCGCCGCCAUCACCAUCGAAGAUGCCGCGAUGCUGUCCAUGCUCUAUUCGACGGACGCAGCAGUCGGCGAGGCGGAGGCCACGGCGCGUGACCGCGUUAUAGACGGCACCAACCCGCUAGAGGUCUCCUCAACGGCGAGCACGGCAAGCACACGCACCAGGGACGGGGGCAGUGGCGUGCUCGUGUCUAAACCCACCGCGAUACCCGUCUCGAUGGGCGUCAGCUCGGCCUCAGAGGAGACGAGGGCACCUACUCGUCAUCUUCGGUCAUCUCCGCCGGAGCACGCGCCCGCUCUGCAGCCCUCGCCGAGCAUGGCGGCAUUUUCGUCUGUGCCGCUCCCCUCCCUCACUGCGAACCAAAAGCAGCCGCGUCUUGAGUGCCCCAUGAACGCCAUUGACACCACCCUUGCCGAGGAGCGGGCAGCGCGGGCAGCGACGCAGGCGCGGCUGGUGGAGGUGGAACAAUCGAACCUACUGCUGCGCUUGCGCCUCGCCGAGCUGCACGGACGCAUGCGGCUGGAGGGGGGCAGCACACACUUCGCUGAGGGUCAUCAACUGAUGAAUGCGGAGAAGGCGACGAGGAGGACUGUAGGAAAGGACUACUCUUGGGCGCCGUCAUCAUUGGCAACCGCACCAGCACCGCUGCCUUCGCCCGCUGAGGCAAGCGCAUCGCGGGUGCUGUGGCCGCCGCACUACUCCCGCGCGUCCCAUGAUGCCUCCCUCAAAGUCUUUCUUGCGCGCUGUGGUUUCGCCGCGAUGGACUCGAUGGCGCCCGCUGACGCGGCGAUGCUGCCACGGCGUCUGGCCUAAGCACAUCAGCAGGCGCUCCGUGAGGGCAAGGCGCACCAGAAGCCGCAGUGGACCCGCGGUGACGAGGGUGACACUGAAGCAAUGCAAGACUUGCCGGAGCGGUGCGACGAAGACGGCACCGCCCGCAUGGCGCGUGCAGCGUUUGGGGUGAUUGCGACGGCAACGCGAGCACUGCGUCCUGUUUUCUAAAGGCUUUCGGCGGCCACACCAACACCCAUCGAGGAUAGCAUUGGAAAGUUCUUCGCGUACGUGUCUGCAGCUGCCAUGGAUCACCCCCACCUCGCCCUCGCCCUCGUCAUCGUGCGUGCGUCCCGCAAGAGCGAGGACUCUAGUCCCUCGGAAGACAUGAAGGACUUCUCGAUGGAAGAGGAGGAGGAGGGAGGCAGCGCACGAGCACCGCCGUCGAUAGCAGUGCUGGUCAUGGUGAGGGUCAUGCGACAUGAUGUAACCAGGGCUACGGCGUCUGUGGCUGUACGUGUAGGUGUAUGUCUAUGUAUGUUAGUGCAGAUUCUUUUGCUAGUUUUUGGUUCUAAGCGGUGGUGACCACUGCCACCAUCACCCCUCCCCCUCGUGGCCCGAUUCUUUACAUGCGCGCCUGAUUCUGUACGGAUGCGUACCGUCGCUGCCCCACCACCACCCACUUCUCCUCCCUCGUUGCACAGAUGGCUCAUCAGUACAGUCGUUGUAGCGCGUUCAUCACUAAUGUUUUCUUUUCUUGUUGUCAGCCUCUCCCCCCUCCUCUCUUGAUGAACUUCGCCGCCCUCCUCCCACCCUCACCGUCUCUCCCCCUUCCACACAUAGUCAAAUAGGCAGACGCCCGGGGGGGGGGGGCGGAGGAGGGGGAGCCACACACACACACACGUCCCCUCCCUCCCCCCCGCGUCGUCCUGCACCCGUCCUUUUUCUUCGAGCUUGCCCAUAUAUAUUCCCCCCCCCACACACACACACGCACAUGCUUGCAUGCAUCGUAUGCCUGCACGACAGCGCCUCGCCUUCGACAAGGCCUUCGCUGUCCUUCUCUCUCUCUAUAACAAUGUCUGUCGAGCCUCUCCCUAAUCCAUCCGCAAUACUUUCGUGUGUGUGUGUGUGUCCUCUGUUCCACAUGUCGCUGCUGCCGCCGCUGCUGGUGCUGGGUGGACGGCAGGCUCGUCACCCUGACGGCGACGACGCGCAUGAUGUCGGGGACGGUCUUUACGAGUUGCCUGAGGCGGCACUUCUCUCUUCGUGUUUCUACGUUUUCGAUGUGAUUUCAGGCAGUGAUGGUGGCGUUUCUGCUGCUGCUGCUGCCGUUGUCUCUUGCGUCUCUACUUGCCUCUUGUUCGCACUUGCCUCCAUCGAC
rnacentral:misc_RNA from 1 species